rnacentral:rRNA from 1 species
GAUAAACGCUAGCGACAGGCCUAACACAUGCAAGUCGAGGGGCAGCACAUGAGUAGCAAUACGAUGGUGGCGACCGGCGCACGGGUGAGUAACACGUAUGCAACCUACCCAUAAGAGGGGAAUAACCCGGAGAAAUUCGGACUAACACCGCAUAAUACUGAAUAUUCGCAUGGAUUUUCAGUUAAAUAUUAAUAGCUUAUGGAUGGGCAUGCGUAUGAUUAGAUAGUUGGUAGGGUAACGGCCUACCAAGUCAACGAUCAUUAGGGGUUCUGAGAGGAAGGUCCCCCACAUUGGAACUGAGACACGGUCCAAACUCCUACGGGAGGCAGCAGUGAGGAAUAUUGGUCAAUGGGCGAGAGCCUGAACCAGCCAUGUCGCGUGAAGGAAGAAUGUCCUAUGGAUUGUAAACUUCUUUUAUACAGGAAUAAAGUGUACUACGUGUAGUAUUUUGUAUGUACUGUAUGAAUAAGGAUCGGCUAACUCCGUG